UGGGCUUAAAUGCUUAAUGACGUACUGGGAAACUGGUAUUUCUUCGGACAUUUUGCAAGGUGCUGCAUGGUUGUCGUCAGCUCGCGCCGUGAGGUGUCGGGUUAAGUCCCAUAACGAGCGCAACCCCUAUUGUUAGUUGCCAUCAGGUCAUGCUGGGGACUCUAACAAAACUGCCCGCGUAAGCGGUGGAGGAAGGUGGGGAUGACGUCAAAUCAGCACGGCCCUUACGUCCAGGGCUACACACGUGCUACAAUGGCCGGUACAGAGGGCAGCCACUUGGUGACAAGGAGCAAAUCUCAAAAGCCGGUCUCAGUUCGGAUCGGAGUCUGCAACUCGACUCCGUGAAGUUGGAUUCGCUAGUAAUCGUAGAUCAGCAAUGCUACGGUGAAUACGUUCCCGGGCCUU
rnacentral:rRNA from 1 species